rnacentral:rRNA from 1 species
UACGUAGGGUGCGAGCGUUGUCCGGAAUUAUUGGGCGUAAAGAGCUCGUAGGCGGUUUGUCGCGUCGGCCGUGAAAUCUCCACGCUUAACGUGGAGCGUGCGGUCGAUACGGGCAGACUUGAGUUCGGCAGGGGAGACUGGAAUUCCUGGUGUAGCGGUGAAAUGCGCAGAUAUCAGGAGGAACACCGGUGGCGAAGGCGGCGACCUGGGUAGAUACUGACGCUGAGGUGCGAAAGCGUGGGGAGCAAACAGG